rnacentral:rRNA from 1 species
CCUACGGGGGGCAGCAGUGGGGAAUAUUGGACAAUGGGCGAAAGCCUGAUCCAGCCAUGCCGCGUGUGUGAAGAAGGCCUUCGGGUUGUAAAGCACUUUCAGUGGGGAAGAAAGCCUUGGGGCUAAUACCCUCGAGGAAGGACAUCACCCACAGAAGAAGCACCGGCUAACUCCGUGCCAGCAGCCGCGGUAAUACGGAGGGUGCGAGCGUUAAUCGGAAUUACUGGGCGUAAAGCGCGCGUAGGCGGUCUGAUAAGCCGGUUGUGAAAGCCCCGGGCUCAACCUGGGAACGGCAUCCGGAACUGUCAGGCUAGAGGGCAGGAGAGGAAGGUAGAAUUCCCGGUGUAGCGGUGAAAUGCGUAGAGAUCGGGAGGAAUACCAGUGGCGAAGGCGGCCUUCUGGACUGACACUGACGCUGAGGUGCGAAAGCGUGGGUAGCAAACAGGAUUAGAUACCCUAGUAGUC